AACGCUAGCUACAGGCUUAACACAUGCAAGUCGAGGGGAAACGACAUCGAAAGCUUGCUUUUGAUGGGCGUCGACCGGCGCACGGGUGAGUAACGCGUAUCCAACCUGCCCACCACUUGGGGAUAACCUUGCGAAAGUAAGACUAAUACCCGAUGAUAUCUCUAGACGACAUCUGAAAGGGAUUAAAGAUUUAUCGGUGAUGGAUGGGGAUGCGUCUGAUUAGCUUGUUGGCGGGGUAACGGGCCACCAAGGCAACGAUCAGUAGGGGUUCUGAGAGGAAGGUCCCCCACAUUGGAACUGAGACACGGUCCAAACUCCUACGGGAGGCAGCAGUGAGGAAUAUUGGUCAAUGGGCGAGAGCCUGAACCAGCCAAGUAGCGUGCAGGACGACGGCCCUAUGGGUUGUAAACUGCUUUUAUAAGGGAAUAAAGUGAGUCUCGUGAGACUUUUUGCAUGUACCUUAUGAAUAAGGACCGGCUAAUUCCGUGCCAGCAGCCGCGGCAAUACGGAAGGUCCGGGCGUUAUCCGGAUUUAUUGGGUUUAAAGGGAGCGUAGGCCGGAGAUUAAGCGUGUUGUGAAAUGUCGCGGCUCAACCGUGGCACUGCAGCGCGAACUGGAUGACUUGAGUUCGCGGGAGGUAGGCGGAAUUCGUGGUGUAGCGGUGAAAUGCUUAGAUAUCACGAAGAACUCCGAUUG
rnacentral:rRNA from 1 species